GUAAGGAAUAUUGGACAAUGGACGCAAGUCUGAUCCAGCCAUGCCGCGUGAAGGAUUAAGGUCCUCUGGAUUGUAAACUUCUUUUAUAAGGGACGAAAAAAGGCUUUUCUAAGUCGUCUGACGGUACCUUAUGAAUAAGCACCGGCUCACUCCGUGCCAGCAGCCGCGGUAAUACGGAGGGUGCAAGCGUUAUCCGGAUUCACUGGGUUUAAAGGGUGCGUAGGCGGGCAGGUAAGUCAGUGGUGAAAUCCUAGAGCUUAACUCUAGAACGGCCAUUGAUACUAUCUGUCUUGAAUAUUGGGGAGGUAAGCGGAAUAUGUCAUGUAGCGGUGAAAUGCUUAGAUAUGACAUAGAACACCUAUUGCGAAGGCAGCUUACUACGCAUAUAUUGACGCUGAGGCACGAAAGCGUGGGGAUCAAACAGGAUUAGAAACCCGAGUAGUCC
rnacentral:rRNA from 1 species